GCGGGAGUAGUUCAGUGGUAGAACACCACCCGCCAAGGUGGGGUCGCGAGUUCGAAUCUCGUCUUCUCCGCUCCA
rnacentral:tRNA from 1 species